UUCCCGUAAUUUUUCUUUUCUAAAUUUGGCCUGUUUACUUGAGUCCUUCCUCCUCAUUUCCUUCAUCGCUCUCCGACUCUCACUUCUUAAGAGAGCUAAAGAGGGAGACCGGAAGAAGGACGCGAGAACGAUCGGUGGUUGGGGGAAAUGGGGUGCUUUCCGUGCGCCGGAGAGCCGAGCAAGAAGGGCAAGGAGAAGGAUCAGAUCUCGCCGAUCUCAGCAGAUAAAAAAUCCAAUUCCACGUCAGAUGUAAAGAAACAGAGUUCACUGGAUGCAAAGGAGGAGGCCUCAAAUAAUGGAUCUGAACAUAUUGCUGCUCAGACAUUUACAUUUCGUGAACUGGCUGCGGCAACCAAGAAUUUCAGAGUUGAUUGCCUUUUAGGAGAGGGAGGGUUUGGCCGAGUCUAUAAGGGAAGGUUGGAUAGUAUUAACCAGGUUGUGGCUAUAAAGCAGCUUGACCGUAAUGGCUUGCAAGGUAAUCGAGAAUUCCUUGUUGAAGUUCUGAUGUUGAGUCUACUUCACCACCCUAACCUCGUUAACCUAAUCGGAUACUGUGCUGAUGGAGAUCAAAGGCUUUUAGUUUAUGAGUACAUGCCAUUAGGAUCCUUGGAAGAUCAUCUUCAUGACCCUUCUCCAGACAAGAAGCGGCUUGACUGGAACACAAGAAUGAAAAUAGCUGCUGGUGCAGCUAAAGGAUUAGAGUAUUUGCAUGAUAAGGCCAAUCCUCCUGUUAUAUACCGCGAUCUGAAAUGCUCUAACAUUUUGCUUGGAGAGGGAUAUCAUCCCAAGUUAUCUGAUUUUGGCUUGGCAAAGCUUGGCCCAGUCGGCGAUAAAACUCAUGUUUCCACUAGGGUAAUGGGUACUUAUGGAUAUUGUGCACCUGAAUAUGCAAUGACUGGACAACUGACACUAAAAUCAGAUGUCUAUAGCUUUGGGGUCGUUCUUCUGGAGCUUAUUACUGGAAGAAGGGCUAUUGACAAUUCUAGAGCUGCAGGGGAGCACAAUCUCGUUGCAUGGGCACGACCCCUUUUCAAGGACAGAAGGAAAUUUCCACAGAUGGCUGACCCAAUGCUUCAGGGCCAGUAUCCUGUGAGAGGCUUAUACCAGGCACUUGCUGUUGCUGCAAUGUGUGUUCAGGAGCAGCCCACCAUGAGGCCUUUAAUAGCUGAUGUGGUUACUGCUAUCACUUACCUUGCUUCCCAAACUUACAACCCCGAAGCCCAAUCAAAUCAAAAUACUUCUCGUUUGACGGCACCAGGUACCCCACCUCGAACAAGAAGGGACAGCGAAAAGAAACCAAGUGGUGGAUCUGAAAGAGACCAGUUGAGAGGACUAAAAUGAAAUCAUCCAUUGCUCGUCAGAGCAAAGUGCUUCAAUUCUACCUGCUUUGCUACCAUCUCCUGGUGCCAGAACAGUGAAAAUUUUUGCCACGCGUUUAUUCUCUUUUGGCUGUCUAUUUGGUGUCUGGUCAUCAAAUUUUGUAUCAUCAGAAAACAGGAAUCAAGACAUGAUAUAUGUGGAAUGUCAUUUGAAAGCAAGUAUUCUAAGACUGGGACUUCAGUUUGAGGCUAUGAUUAGAAGUGGAAUCCUCACAAUAUUAGAAGAAAGAUGGUAAAAGGCCCGAUUCUAGUACUCAUUUUUCCGCUGCAGUUCAGAUGUUAUGCGUCAUGAUGGUAUUGAUGCUCUACUUCUCGCAAAAAAGAUGGUGUUGGUGCUCUAAACUUUAAACCACGACCCAUUGUUCAGCAUGGCGUGCCAGCGGAAAAGGGACGAGUUUAGGUUGUAGAGAUGAGAAUGUCAGUGUAAACGUGACCCAGGUGAACUUGCCCCUGAUAAACCUGCCAGGUCUUGGCAGCCCUGCAAGUAGUGGGCUUGAUAAAUGGUGAUAUGUUUACUAUCAUUCGAUAUUCCUUCUGCGAAUGAUGAUGUUGAGGCAUGAACACUCUGUGAUCUCUCUUUACUGAUGUCAUGUGGAUUCUAUGACGGAAUCCCGGCCAAUUGAUCUGCUGAAUCUACUGUCGAUAUUGUAUGCCAUGUGGGUAUUCUUCAUCAUAUGAAUUGUUCAGGACUAGUGAAAUAUAAGCCUCCAUUUUU